rnacentral:rRNA from 1 species
GAUGAACGCUGGCGGCGUGCCUAAUACAUGCAAGUCGAGCGAACGGACUAGAAGCUUGCUUCUCUUAUGUUAGCGGCGGACGGGUGAGUAACACGUGGAUAACCUACCUAUAAGACUGGGAUAACUUCUGGAAACCGGUGCUAAUACCGGAUAAUAUUUUUAACCGCAUGUUUCAAAAGUGAAAGACGGUCUUGCUGUCACUUAUAGAUGGAUCCGCGCUGCAUUAGCUAGUUGGUAAGGUAACGGCUUACCAAGGCAACGAUGCAUAGCCGACCUGAGAGGGGGAUCGGCCAAACUGGAACUGAGACACGGUCAAGACUCCUAAGGGAGGAAGAAGUAGGGAAUCUUCGGCAAAGGGCGAAAGCCGGACGGAGAAAAGCCGCGUGAGGGAUGAAGGUCUUCGGAUCGAAAAACUCUGUUAUUAGGGAAGAACAUAUGUGGAAGGAAAAGUGCACAACGUGACGGUACCUAAUCAGAAAGCCACGGCUAACUACGUG